GUGCAAGCGUUAAUCGGAAUUACUGGGCGUAAAGCGCACGCAGGCGGUUUGUUAAGUCAGAUGUGAAAUCCCCGGGCUCAACCUGGGAACUGCAUCUGAUACUGGCAAGCUUGAGUCUCGUAGAGGGGGGUAGAAUUCCAGGUGUAGCGGUGAAAUGCGUAGAGAUCUGGAGGAAUACCGGUGGCGAAGGCGGCCCCCUGGACGAAGACUGACGCUCAGGUGCGAAAGCGUGGGGAGCAAACAGGAUUAGAUACCCUGGUAGUCCACGCCGUAAACGAUGUCGACUUGGAGGUUGUGCCCUUGAGGCGUGGCUUCCGGAGCUAACGCGUUAAGUCGACCGCCUGGGGAGUACGGCCGCAAGGUUAAAACUCAAAUGAAUUGACGGGGGCCCGCACAAGCGGUGGAGCAUGUGGUUUAAUUCGAUGCAACGCGAAGAACC
rnacentral:rRNA from 1 species